rnacentral:rRNA from 1 species
UACGUAGGUGGCUAGCGUUAUCCGGAAUUACUGGGCGUAAAGGGUGCGUAGGUGGUUUCUUAAGUCAGAGGUGAAAGGCUACGGCUCAACCGUAGUAAGCCUUUGAAACUGGGAAACUUGAGUGCAGGAGAGGAGAGUGGAAUUCCUAGUGUAGCGGUGAAAUGCGUAGAUAUUAGGAGGAACACCGGCGGCGAAGGCGGCUUGCUGGACGGCAACUGACGUUGAGGCUCGAAAGCGUGGGGAGCAAACAGGAUUAGAUACCCUGGUAGUCCCUGAGCGGG